rnacentral:rRNA from 1 species
CUACGGGUCGCUCCAGUGGGGAAUAUUGGGCAAUGGGCGCAAGCCUGACCCAGCAACGCCGCGUGAGGGAAGAAUGUCUUCGGAUUGUAAACCUCUGUCCUUAGGGACGAAAAAAAUGACGGUACCUAAGGAGGAAGCUCCGGCUAACUACGUGCCAGCAGCCGCGGUAAUACGUAGGGAGCAAGCGUUGUCCGGAAUUACUGGGCGUAAAGGGUGCGUAGGCGGCUAGGCAAGUCAGAUGUGAAAUACCCAGGCUUAACUUGGGGGGUGCAUUUGAAACUGCUUGGCUUGAGUGCAGGAGAGGAAAGCGGAAUUCCUAGUGUAGCGGUGAAAUGCGUAGAUAUUAGGAGGAACACCAGUGGCGAAGGCGGCUUUCUGGACUGCAACUGACGCUGAGGCACGAAAGCGUGGGGAGCAAACAGGAUUAGAUACCCCGGUAGUC